GGGGAUACCGGCUUAAUUUUAAUUAAUUCAUAGCCUACUAUAAAAAUUUGCAAUAUCCGUUUUAUUUUGUUUGUUUAAAUUAUGAACAUUAAUAUUACCGUAACGAGCUUGAAAGACAAUAAAGCAAUUGUUGUGGUGGAAUAGUAAUAACACCGCCUUGUCACAAAAUUUCUGAAAUAAAUCCAGCGGUGACACAUUGGUCAAAGGAAACAUGGGACCCAUUCAAACCAUCAACUUUAAAUUGGCGAAAAACUGACGUAAAACGGCUGACACGUCCUGUUCCCAUUAAAAUGUUGCGAUUCGUGGAAAUCAUAGGUGGUUGACCCAUUUAAUUUACAUUUAUUUUAAGGGCAGAUUUCUGUGGAAGAUUCGCGUGCAUGGAAAAAGUAAAUGCGACGAUCUCUUUGACACACACACCCCCGGCAUAAUGGUCGUGCGGAUGAAUGAAGCGAAAUAUGUGCAUCGGUGGGGAAUGGUUAGUCAUUGGAUCCAGAUUGACGGCAACUAAUCGAGAAGUGGAGAAGUGCGGAUCCGAGGUGCACGCAACGGGUCACAGGUCGCAACAAACGGGUCUCUCCGCGGCCACUUCCGCACUGGUGCACGGUCCUAUCAUGUCCCAGUGCCUGUUUAAAUUAUCGCCGGGAUUAAUUUACCGUGUCCAAGUGUAAUUGUGUUACAAGACACUACCAAAUUGUGCUAUUUGAUUUAUUCUUUCAUCAUCAAUAUGGAUACAGCUCUAUAUUUUGUAACUUGUAAAAUAUAUCGUAUAU